CCUAACCGGCCCAUUCCCACCCACUCCUCUUCCCGCACCUCUCGCCUCCUUCCAGAUCCCCCCGAACACCUCCCACCGCCGCCCCUCGCUUCGGCGCGGCUCCCGCCGCCGGCCCCUCGGCCCCAGCGCGCCACCCCUGCCGCCGCCCCCGAUGGACCUCCUGCCGCCGACCACCCGACCCCAACGCCCACCCGCUGUUGGCCACCGGAGCCGCGACACCCACCCCUGCGCUGCUGGCCACCAGAGCCGCCACCCCUAGUCACGAGAUCCGCCGGCGGCAGCCUAGACCCUGCGCCACCUCUUUCGGUCGGCGUUCGUCUGCGAGCUCCCGCCUCCAGUCGUCGUCGGAUCCCGCCUCUGUACACCGGAUCACGGUGCUUCGUUCCUCCAUGAGCCUAGAUCCAUUGAGGUCUACCUUAUGCCCAUAUGUGUGGCUGCAUCAAGCUACAACGAACACCGUUCCUCGGCCCUUUCCUGAACUGCAGCCUCAUCAGUGUGUGGACCAUCGAGGAAUUUUUCCUGGGCAGCAUUCUGUGCUUUUCUUCAUUUUCCUUGAUUUUUGUGUCUCCACACUCUGCAGAAUGUUUCUAUUCUCUGCUUCAAUUGAAGUAAAAUAUUUCUGUUUCAGACAAAAUGCACGUACUAGCAUACUCGAACUUCAGAGAUGCCCAUUUUGUUUCGGCUGAAAAGAGACACUGGUUUUUCAUGAUGGAGAAAAUUGCUCCAGUAAUCCAAUUUUGUUCAUGUGGUCACCGAGAUGAAAAUAUGUCUGUGUUUCGUUUAGUAUACAUUGAGAAAGUUCAUUUCUUUUUCAAUUUGCUCCAGGAAUCCUAGUAUUUUCAAUUUGUCAUGUAUGUAUACAUUGAGAAAGUUAAGUGUUGUUUCAUUUAGUUCGCUCACACAGCCAUGCGAAUCAUUUGUUUUUCAGGCAAAGGGAAGUAGGUGAGGCCAUCCCAAUCCAGCACCGCGCAGCUGUAGGGAGGUCAAGCCCAUCGCGAGCUGCAGUCCACGGCGGUCACCGUGUCAAUCCUCCUACAUCCUGCCCCGCCCGCCCUUUAAAGUGCCCGCGACCCAUCGCGUGUAGAUGUUGUUUCACUGCCCAGUCAAAUUCCACCACUAUUUGUAGCUCCAAUGUGCAAUUCAUUGUGAUGCUCCUGGAGGUUCAAUUUUUGUGUGUGUUGUUGCAGCUGACCUUGACACAUUUUCUUCCUUUUGAUGUGCCAUUUUAUGCAUAGUUAUCACUAGAUGCCCAUAACAUGUGCCGGGUACGGUGUUUGUGAAAUCCUGAGAGACUCAUUCAUGUGUUUUUUGGUGAUGGAUAGAGAGAUUCAUUGUUCAUUUAUGUACAAGUUCAGAUUUUAAACAAUUUAGUGGUUCGGUGUUUAUCAAAAGCCGCUCUUU